CUGUUUCUGAUGAUAAGUUUAAUCUGAACAAUCACUGUUGAUUUUUAACUUAAAAUUUAACCAAAAGGAUUCUGAGAACAG
rfam:Drosophila ananassae strain TSC#14024-0371.13 Ctg01_18812, whole genome shotgun sequence.